rnacentral:rRNA from 1 species
UGGGGAAUCUUGGACAAUGGGGGCAACCCUGAUCCAGCCAUGCCGCGUGAGUGAUGAAGGCCUUAGGGUCGUAAAGCUCUUUCGCCUGUGAAGAUAAUGACGGUAGCAGGUAAAGAAACCCCGGCUAACUCCGUGCCAGCAGCCGCGGUAAUACGGAGGGGGUUAGCGUUGUUCGGAAUUACUGGGCGUAAAGCGCACGUAGGCGGACCAGAAAGUUGGGGGUGAAAUCCCGGGGGCUCAACCCCGGAACUGCCUCCAAAACUAUUGGUCUAGAGUUCGAGAGAGGUGAGUGGAAUUCCAAGUGUAGAGGUGAAAUUCGUAGAUAUUUGGAGGAACACCAGUGGCGAAGGCGGCUCACUGGCUCGAUACUGACGCUGAGGUGCGAAAGUGUGGGGAGCAAAACAGGAUUAGAUACCCUGGUAGUCCACACCGUAAAACGAUGAAUGCCAGUCGUCGGGUAGCAUGCUAUUCGGUGACACACCUAACGGAUUAAGCAUUCCGCCUGGGGAGUACGGUCGCAAGAUUAAAACCUCAAA